GUGGGGAAUAUUGCGCAAUGGGCGAAAGCCUGACGCAGCGACGCCGCGUGAGGGACGACGGCCUUCGGGUUGUAAACCUCUUUCAGCAGGGACGAAGCGAAAGUGACGGUACCUGCAGAAGAAGCACCGGCCAACUACGUGCCAGCAGCCGCGGUAAUACGUAGGGUGCAAGCGUUGUCCGGAAUUAUUGGGCGUAAAGAGCUCGUAGGCGGUUUGUCACGUCGGAUGUGAAAACUCGGGGCUCAACCCCGAGCCUGCAUACGAUACGGGCAGACUUGAGUUCGGCAGGGGAGACUGGAAUUCCUGGUGUAGCGGUGAAAUGCGCAGAUAUCAGGAGGAACACCGGUGGCGAAGGCGGGUCUCUGGGCCGAUACUGACGCUGAGGAGCGAAAGCGUGGGGAGCGAACAGGAUUAGAAACCCGAGUAGUCC
rnacentral:rRNA from 1 species